UAACUGAAAAAAGUAAGUCUCAGUUCGGAUUGAAGGCUGAAAUUCGCCUUCAUGAAGCCGGAAUUGCUAGUAAUGGCAGGUCAGCAUACUGCCGUGAAUACGUUCCCGGGCCUUGUACACACCGCCCGUCACACCAUGAGAGUCGGGAACACCCGAAGUCCGUAGCCUGACCGCAAGGGGGCGCGGCCGAAGGUGGGUUCGAUAAUUGGGGUGAAGUCGUAACAAGGUAAC
rnacentral:rRNA from 1 species